rnacentral:rRNA from 1 species
AUGAACGCUGGCGGCGUGCCUUAUCCCUGCCAGUCGAGCGAACAGACGAGGAGCUUGCUCCUCUGCCGUUAGCGGCGGACGGGUGAGUAACACGUGGAUAACCUACCUAUAAGACUGGGAUAACUUCGGGAAACCGGAGCUAAUACCGGAUAAUAUAUUGAACCGCAUGGUUCAAUAGUGAAAGACGGUUUUGCUGUCACUUAUAGAUGGAUCCGCGCCGCAUUAGCUAGUUGGUAAGGUAACGGCUUACCAAGGCAACGAUGCGUAGCCGACCUGAGAGGGUGAUCGGCCACACUGGAACUGAGACACGGUCCAGACUCCUACGGGAGGCAGCAGUAGGGAAUCUUCCGCAAUGGGCGAAAGCUUGACGGAGCAACGCCGCGUGAGUGAUGAAGGUCUUCGGAUCGUAAAACUCUGUUAUUAGGGAAGAACAAAUGUGUAAGUAACUAUGCACGUCUUGACGGUACCUAAUCAGAAAGCCACGGCUAACUACGUG